rnacentral:rRNA from 1 species
GAUGAACGCUAGCUACAGGCUUAACACAUGCAAGUCGCGGGGCAGCAUGAAUUUAGCUUGCUAAAUUUGAUGGCGACCGGCGCACGGGUGAGUAACGCGUAUCCAACCUGCCCAUGUCCACGGGAUAGCCCGUCGAAAGGCGGAUUAAUACCGUAUGAGGUCACACGAUGGCAUCUAAGUGUGACGAAAGGUUUGGCGGACAUGGAUGGGGAUGCGUCCGAUUAGCUAGUUGGCGGGGUAACGGCCCACCAAGGCGACGAUCGGUAGGGGUUCUGAGAGGAAGGUCCCCCACAUUGGAACUGAGACACGGUCCAAACUCCUACGGGAGGCAGCAGUGAGGAAUAUUGGUCAAUGGACGUAAGUCUGAACCAGCCAAGUAGCGUGCAGGAUGACGGCCCUAUGGGUUGUAAACUGCUUUUAUGCGGGGAUAAAGUGUGGGACGUGUCCCAUAUUGCAGGUACUGCAUGAAUAAGGACCGGCUAAUUCCGUGCCAGCA